GCGGGAAGAGCUCAAAUUUAUAAUCUGGCACCUUCGGUGUCCGAGUUGUAAUCUCUAGAAAUGUUUUCCGCGUUGGACCGCACACAAGUCUGUUGGAAUACAGCGGCAUAGUGGUGAGACCCCCGUAUAUGGUGCGGACGCCCAGCGCUUUGUGAUACAUUUUCGAAGAGUCGAGUUGUUUGGGAAUGCAGCUCAAAUUGGGUGGUAAAUUCCAUCUAAAGCUAAAUAUUGGCGAGAGACCGAUAGCGAACAAGUACCGUGAGGGAAAGAUGAAAAGCACUUUGGAAAGAGAGUUAACAGUACGUGAAAUUGUUGGAAGGGAAACGCUUGAAGUCAGACUUGCUUGCCGAGCAAUCGGUUUGCAGGCCAGCAUCAGUUUUCCGGGAUGGAUAAUGGUAGAGAGAAGGUAGCAGUUUCGGCUGUGU
rnacentral:rRNA from 1 species